UAUACCUAAGAUGGUGCCAUAAAGAGGCAACAUUGUAAAACUUUUCACUGUACUCCUGUACUUGAGUACACGUGACAAUAAAGGAUAUUCCGUGCUAUUCUAACAAGAAAGAGCAGUGGUGGAAUACAAAUGACAUUAAACUCAAUGGAAAAUGAAAUUAAGCAAGGCAUUUUACACACUGUCGGAAAGUAAAAUCAGCUUUUCAGUGCUAAUUCACAUAAAGGAUGGUGAUCCUUCUCUGGGGAGUGAUUUCCCUAUGGCGAAUGCUGUUCCCAUUAUUUCUGUUGCUGAGAAACAGUAACCUCUGGGACUGAUGAUCAUUCUGUACUCUGUUAAGGUGAUGGAUCAUAUCUUUCUGAUCAGUGACCUGCCAUGAGGGUGUAGUUUUGCUACUUGCAUGCAGAUGUCCUGUAGUUACGAUGACAUAUCUGGUUAUUCAUGUUCACUGCGUACAAUCAAGCUGACAGCUACUCAACACAGGGCCAAGUUGCCAAAUGGGGUGACUCUUGUUGAGAGCAUUGAACCUUGAAACUCUGAAUUGAUCCUCAAUGUUCAGCUCUGGCAAUGAUUUGGCACCUUUAUCAAAAUGAAAUUUGGCUUUCUGUUAUUUAACUUGAGUUUGUCACUCCCACCAGCUACCAUUUCUAUCUUCAGUGUUUUUUUUGGCUAAUGGAAGAGUAGUUUGGGUGUGGUGUGACAUUAGUUUUUGGACUGGACUACUUUCCAUGUUUCCAUAGCUGUGUUUCUCCACUUGAAGAUUGGCCUGUACAAUUCUUGACACAAUUUGUUCAAUUUUGUCAUGAUCCCUUUGGUGAUUUUUAUUGCCACUUGGCUGAGGAUAGUGCACAUGUGACAUGUGUGGUUGAAUUUCCCAAUCCUUCAUGAAGCAGCUGAAUUCUUCACUUGUAAUUUCAGGACCACAGUCAUUCCACAAUGUCUGGAAUGUCAUGCUAAGUGAAGUUUUCAUACAUCCUACACUCUCAUUGUUGUCAGCUGAUCUAGUAGUCAAUAUGGUAGUUGACUAUGACAGGAUAAUCAGUUCCUAAAGGCAUGAAGAGGUCAACUCUAUGUUUCAUUCAUGUUCUGCAUUAUGGGUGAUUCUUUAGCUUGCUUCACUUAGUAUUCAUUAUAACUACUGCACUGGCUGAUGUGGUCCUUAAUUUCAUUGCCCUUGUUUGGCCACUAGAGUAGUUCUCUUGCCUUCCAGUGCAAUUCCUUGAUAUUUCGCUUAGAUGUGCUUCAGCAUCUUGAUUCUACUUUCUUUGCACAAAAUGCUAUCGCAGACUAUCACUUUAUCUCUACACACCCAAUAAUCUCUCAUAGCAACCAAAAUAUCCUUGAUACUUUUAGGCCACUCCUUCAUCAUUACUUCCUGCAGAACAACAUCUUGUUGCAUUGUUCACUUGAAUUGAGCAGGAUGCUUGUCUGUCAGAUUCAUUGGGCUGAAUCUUAACAUCAGUUUUGUUGAGUUUCACAGAGGGCUUAUUUCACUGUCUUUUACCUACUUUGUCUCAUUAACCAUCUACCUUGCUCGCAUAGCAUAUCUCUUACCUGAUUCUAGCCCCAUCCAACCACUUGCUGUUCCCAUAAUAACUCGCUAUUGUCAGGAAAUCCAAGAAUGGAUUUAUGGCAUGGGGUUCCAUCUUUAAGAGGUUGUUGUAUACCUGAAUAAGCACUGAUAGUCUGGACCCUCCCUGCACGGUUCCUGAUAUUUACCCCUGACAUGGCAGAGAAAGGAAAUUCACACCCUGCUUUAUUAGCAGCUUCCCAGAGGUCCUAGUGGAUAGAGUGAUUCAGAGGAGAGAUGUCCACUCUUCCCAGGACCAGCAGUGGAGGUCAUGACACCAGACCUGGUUUGGGGCUGCCACCUGGGCCAGUGCAGUCUCAGCUAACUGGAAGAAUGCACAUCCAGUGUAGGAGAAAGUUGAAUCACCUUCUCCACUUCGGCAGUGUAAAUGCUACCGUCUUCUGUCUGAUACCUUACGUUCACUUCAUCUCUGCUAUGGUACCCUCCUGGCAUCUCAUGCUCUGCCACCCUCACUAUUGCUUGCAACAUCUUCCACUGUCACUCACCUAGACACCACUGAUUCUGUGAGCCAUCUAUGCUGUCUACUUACUCACUUGCACCAAAACUAAUAGCUCUGUCACCCACAUUCAUCUCCCUUAAUACCUACCUCUCUAUCACUCCAGGGGGAAAACAGCCUGAAAUAAGGCAAAAUGAAUCAAGACGGUUGGUGGGGUGCACUGGAUUGAUUCCAGAGGUGAGAAAUUUGUCUAUGAAGAGAGAGAUUGAACAGUUUAGGCUUAUACUCUUUCGAGUUUAGAAGAAUAAGAGGAGAUCUAAUUGAGGUAUGUAAGAUGUCAAAGGGGAUUAACAAAGUAGACGUAGAGAGGAUGUUUCCUCUUGUGGAACAAUCUAGACUGAGAGUCCUAGUUUUAGGAUUAGGGUAGCAGAUUUAAAACAGAGGUGAGGAGAAAUUUACUUCUCUCUGUGGAAUCAAUCUGUGGAAUUUGCUCCCCCGGAAAACAGUGGAUACCAUGACAUUGAGUCAAUUUAAGGAGAAGAUAGACAUAUUUUUAAUUAGUAGUGGGGUAAAGGGUUAUGGAAAGUGGAGGGGAAAGUGGAAUUGAGGCUGAAAUGAGAUCAGCCACGGUAGUAUUAAAUGGUGGAGCAGUCUCUAGGGACUGAAUUACCUACUCCUGUUCCUAGUCCUUAUGUUAAAUUUCAGCAA